rnacentral:rRNA from 2 species
AGACCCGAAACCCGGUGAUCUAGCCAUGGGCAGGUUGAAGGUUGGGUAACACUAACUGGAGGACCGAACCGACUAAUGUUGAAAAAUUAGCGGAUGACCUGUGGCUGGGGGUGAAAGGCCAAUCAAACCGGGAGAUAGCUGGUUCUCCCCGAAAGCUAUUUAGGUAGCGCCUCGUGAAUUCAUCUCCGGGGGUAGAGCACUGUUUCGGCUAGGGGGCCAUCCCGGCUUACCAACCCGAUGCAAACUGCGAAUACCGGAGAAUGUUAUCACGGGAGACACACGGCGGGUGCUAACGUCCGUCGUGAAGAGGGAAACAACCCAGACCGCCAGCUAAGGUCCCAAAGUCAUGGUUAAGUGGGAAACGAUGUGGGAAGGCCCAGACAGCCAGGAUGUUGGCUUAGAAGCAGCCAUCAUUUAAAGAAAGCGUAAUAGCUCACUGGUCGAGUCGGCCUGCGCGGAAGAUGUAACGGGGCUAAACCAUGCACCGAAGCUGCGGCAGCGACGCUGAUGCGUUGUUGGGUAGGGGAGCGUUCUGUAAGCCUGCGAAGGUGGCCUGUGAGGGUUGCUGGAGGUAUCAGAAGUGCGAAUGCUGACAUAAGUAACGAUAAAGCGGGUGAAAAGCCCGCUCGCCGGAAGACCAAGGGUUCCUGUCCAACGUUAAUCGGGGCAGGGUGAGUCGACCCCUAAGGCGAGGCCGAAAGGCGUAGUCGAUGGGAAACGGGUUAAUAUUCCCGUACUUGGUGUUACUGCGAAGGGGGGACGGAGAAGGCUAUGUUGGCCGGGCGACGGUUGUCCCGGUUUAAGCGUGUAGGUGUGUGUUCCAGGUAAAUCCGGUUCACUUUAACACUGAGGCGUGAUGACGAGGCACUACGGUGCUGA